UUCGUUGUAAGAGAGGAAUCGAGGUUGAUUCUGCUAAAAAAAUAAAAAAAAAAAAAAAAAAAAAAAAAAAAAAGAAGUGCCUGAACCGAGAACAGAAAAAGAGGUUCGUGGUCUAUUGGGUAGAUUGAACUACAUGUCAUGGUUCACAUCUUAUCUGUACUUGACGGUCCUUUAGGGGUCUAUGAGGUGUGUACUGGGGCAGCAUGACUAGUCUUGUCGAAAAGAG
rnacentral:lncRNA from 1 species